UGCUCUGGUAGCCUAGUGGUUAGAGCAUCCGACUUGGAUGCAAUGCAGAAGGUUAUGGGUUUGAUCCCCGGUUGAGUCA